rnacentral:rRNA from 1 species
GACGAACGCUGGCGGCGUGCUUAACACAUGCAAGUCGAACGGAAAGGCCCUGCUUUUGUGGGGUGCUCGAGUGGCGAACGGGUGAGUAACACGUGAGUAACCUGCCCUUGACUUUGGGAUAACUUCAGGAAACUGGGGCUAAUACCGGAUAGGAGCUCCUGCUGCAUGGUGGGGGUUGGAAAGUUUCGGCGGUUGGGGAUGGACUCGCGGCUUAUCAGCUUGUUGGUGGGGUAGUGGCUUACCAAGGCUUUGACGGGUAGCCGGCCUGAGAGGGUGACCGGCCACAUUGGGACUGAGAUACGGCCCAGACUCCUACGGGAGGCAGCAGUGGGGAAUAUUGCACAAUGGGCGGAAGCCUGAUGCAGCAACGCCGCGUGCGGUAUGACGGCCUUCGGUUUGUAAACCGCUUUCGCCUGUGACGAAGCGUGAGUGACGGUAAUGGGUAAAGAAGCACCGGCUGACUACGUG